AGGUUGACCUCGGAUCAGGUAGGGAUACCCGCUGAACUUAAGCAUAUCAAUAAGCGGAGGAAAAGAAACCAACCGGGAUUACCCUAGUAACGGCGAGUGAAGCGGUAAGAGCUCAAAUUUGAAAGCUGGCCCCUUCGGGGUCCGCAUUGUAAUUUGCAGAGGAUGCUUCGGGAGCGGUCCCCAUCUAAGUGCCCUGGAACGGGCCGUCAUAGAGGGUGAGAAUCCCGUAUGGGAUGGGGUGCCCGCGCCCGUGUGAAGCUCCUUCGACGAGUCGAGUUGUUUGGGAAUGCAGCUCUAAUUGGGUGGUAAAUUUCAUCUAAAGCUAAAUAUUGGCCGGAGACCGAUAGCGCACAAGUAGAGUGAUCGAAAGAUGAAAAGCACUUUGAAAAGAGAGUUAAACAGCACGUGAAAUUGUUGAAAGGGAAGCGCUUGCGAUCAGACUCGCUCGCGGGGUUCAGCCGGCCUUCGGGCCGGUGUACUUCCCCGCGGGCGGGCCAGCGUCGGUUUGGGCGGCCGGUCAAAGGCCCCUGGAAUGUAACGCCUCUCGGGGCGUCUUAUAGCCAGGGGUGCCAUGCGGCCUGCCCGGACCGAGGAACGCGCUUCGGCUCGGACGCUGGCAUAAU
rnacentral:rRNA from 1 species